ensembl:misc_RNA Metazoa_SRP Metazoan signal recognition particle RNA
GCCAGAUGUGGUGGCUCACGCCUGUAGUCCCAGCUACUUGGGAGGCUGAGGUGAGGGGGUAACUUGAGCCCAGGAGGUUGAGGCUGCAGUGAGCUGAGAUCAAGCCACUGUGCCCCAACCUGGGCAACAGAGUGAGACCUUGUCUCAA